AGAGUUUGAUCCUGGCUCAGAAUGAACGCUGGCGGCAUGGAUAAGGCAUGCAAGUCGAACGUGAAGCCUGUUUCGCCAGGUGGAAAGUGGCGCAAGGGUGAGUAACACGUGAGUGACCUGCCCCCGAGUCCGGAACAACCCAUGGAAACGUGGAGUGAUACCGGAUGUGGUCCCCGUUCAUAACGGGGUACUAAAGGUCCGCCGCUCGGGGAUGGGCUCGCGGCCCAUCAGCUAGUCGGUGGGGUAACGGCCUACCGAGGCAUCGACGGGUAGGUGGUCUGAGAGGACGAUCACCCACACUGGGACUGAGACACUGCCCAGACUCCUACGGGAGGCUGCAGUCGAGAAUCAUCCGCAAUGGGCGCAAGCCUGACGGUGCGAUGCCGCGUGGGGGACAAGGCCUUCGGGUCGUAAACCCCUGUCAGGAGGGACGAACUUUGACGGUACCUCCAGAGGAAGCCACGGCUAACUACGUGCCAGCAGCCGCGGUAAUACGUAGGUGGCGAGCGUUAUUCGGAUUUACUGGGCGUAAAGGGUCCGCAGGGGGUCUGCCAAGUCUGGUGUGAAAUCCCGGAGCUCAACUCCGGAACUGCGCUGGAUACUGGCGGACUAGAGUGCGCGAGAGGGAAGUGGAAUUCCUGGUGUAGCGGUGGAAUGCGUAGAUAUCAGGAAGAACACCGACGGCGAAGGCAGCUUCCUGGCGCGCUACUGACCCUCAUGGACGAAAGCGUGGGUAGCAAACAGGAUUAGAUACCCUGGUAGUCCACGCUGUAAACGGUGCAGACUCGAUGCAGGGCGGUCCAGUCCGUUCUGUGUCCAAGCUAACGCGUUAAGUCUGCCGCCUGGGGACUACGGCCGCAAGGCUAAAACUCAAAGGAAUUGACGGGGGCCCGCACAAGCGGUGGAGCAUGUGGCUCAAUUCGAGGCAACGCGAAGAACCGUACCUGGGCUUGACAUAUACCCGCCGCACCUGGAAACAGGUGUUUCUCUUCGGAGACGGGUAUACAGGUGCUGCAUGGCUGUCGUCAGCUCGUGCCGUGAGGUGUUCGGUUAAGUCCGGCAACGAGCGCAACCCGUGUCACUAGUUGCCAUCAGGUCAUGCUGGGUACUUUAGUGAGACUGCCCGUGUCAAGCGGGAGGAAGGCGCGGACGACGUCAAGUCCGUAUGGCCCUUAUGUCCAGGGCUGCACACGUGCUACAAUGGGCGGUACAGAAGGACGCGAUACCGCGAGGUGGAGCAAAUCCCGAAAGCCGUCCCCAGUUCGGAUCGGAGUCUGCAACUCGACUCCGUGAAGUCGGAAUCGCUAGUAAAGGCGUAUCAGCAACGGCGCCUUGAAUACGUUCCCGGGCCUUGUACACACCGCCCGUCACAUCAUGGAAGCCGGCUGCACCCGAAGUCGCUGACCCGACCCGCAAGGGAGGGAGGUGCCGAAGGUGUGUCCGGUAGCUGGGAUGAAGUCAACAAGGUA
rnacentral:rRNA from 1 species